GCCUACGGGAGGCAGCAGUGAGGAAUAUUGGUCAAUGGGCGGAAGCCUGAUGGAGCAACGCCGCGUGGGUGAAGAAGGUCUUCGGAUCGUAAAACCCUGUUGUUAGAGAAGAAAGUGCGUGAGAGUAACUGUUCACGUUUCGACGGUAUCUAACCAGAAAGCCACGGCUAACUACGUGCCAGCAGCCGCGGUAAUACGUAGGUGGCAAGCGUUAUCCGGAUUUAUUGGGCGUAAAGGGAACGCAGGCGGUCUUUUAAGUCUGAUGUGAAAGCCUUCGGCUUAACCGGAGUAGUGCAUUGGAAACU
rnacentral:rRNA from 1 species